rnacentral:piRNA from 1 species
UGCCUGUUUCAUCUUUACCCCAUGCCUC